AGCGAACGUUUGCGGCGGGCUUAACACAUGCAAGUCGAACGGGCUGUUCCUUCGGGGGCAGUCAGUGGCGCACGGGUGCGUAACACGUAGGUAAUCAACCCUCUGGUUGGGGAUAACACUUCGAAAGGAGUGCUAAUACCCGGUAUGGCGCAGCGGUCUUCGGAUCGCGGCGAGAAAGACCCGCAAGGGUUGCCAGAGGACGAGCCUGCGGCCCAUCAGCUAGUUGGCGAGGUAACGGCUCACCAAGGCGAAGACGGGUAGCUGGUCUGAGAGGAUGAUCAGCCACACUGGAACUGAGACACGGUCCAGACUCCUACGGGAGGCAGCAGUGGGGAAUAUUGCGCAAUGGGCGAAAGCCUGACGCAGCCACGCCGCGUGAGCGAUGAAGGCCUCGGUCGUAAGACGU
rnacentral:rRNA from 1 species